UUUUUUUUUUUUUUUUUUUUUUUGGUUUCUUUUUGAUAAAUUGUAGUAUUAAUCUACUCAAGAGGCAAAGUGCAAGAAUCAUAAUUUGGAUUCUGAGUUGCUGUCACUGCUAACAGAAUUUCUUUUUGGUCUUUAAACUUUUUUGCUUUGGGUGUCACAGAUAUAAACCAUCUGGUAUGCCAGCUGCCUAUGUUUCUUUUUACACAUACAGCAAGAGGAGGUGGAAAGCUCCAGAAUUGUAGACAUUAUCCUUUUUCUGCUUAUCAUCAUCAUCAUCAUUAUAAUCCUCUUAGCAUUUUAAUAUAUCACUUUUCUUCUUUGAGGCCUCUGAGAUCUGUCAAUAUGCAAUGGAAUGGAGUUUUAUUUUGCUUUCAGUGUGUACACUGAAUAUGUAAGAAGAAUAGAAAUCUGGAAUAUACCUUGUUUUGGCUUUGCUGUUCAAUAGCUGCAAUAAGUUUAUUCCACCUGUGUAUGAGGGCUGCUUCAAAAGCAAUGUCUCCUAUUUUAUUAUGUUUACCCAUGACAGCAAAUAUUGGUAGUAUGGCGGUAGAGAUUGAAACUUUCCACACAUACUCCAUUACAUUUUGUUGCUACAGAUGGCAGCAGAGGGGUAGUCUGACAAUAUGGCAUCUGUCAUGGAAGUGUGUAUGAAGCAAGGGUGUAUAAUUGAAUUUCUUCAUCCAUAAAAAUUUGCAGCCACUGAUAUUCACCGACAUUUGAUGAAUUUUUAUGGAGGCCAAGCAGUGGAUGUUAGCACAGUAAGAUGGUGUGUUUCAGCAGCCAUGACAGCAACGUGAAAGACAAGCCAUGUUCUGGAUGCCUGUGCAGAUCUUUACAAGUGCAGCAUGCAAGCACUUUUUCAUCACUGGCAAAAAUGUGUAGAUAAUUAUUGUGACUAUGUUGAAAAUAGUGUUUUAUAGCUUAGAAUUUGCUCUAUCAAAAAGGUGUGAUUAUGUUCUUUAUAACUGUUAUAGUUUCCAUGAAGGAGAUGAAUAGGAGACAUUACUUUUGGAGCAACUUACACACUUAAAUUUGAUAACUUUUUCCAGAUGAUUCUUGAGAAUACAACUUCUCUCUAUACAGCAUAAAAGUAUUUCAUUCAUUUCAUAUAACAUCUUGUGUACAUGUUUG
ensembl:lncRNA